rnacentral:rRNA from 1 species
UACGUAGGUGGCAAGCGUUGUCCGGAAUUAUUGGGCGUAAAGCGCGCGCAGGUGGUUUCUUAAGUCUGAUGUGAAAGCCCACGGCUCAACCGUGGAGGGUCAUUGGAAACUGGGGAACUUGAGUACAGAAGAGGAAAGCGGAAUUCCACGUGUAGCGGUGAAAUGCGUAGAGAUGUGGAGGAACACCAGUGGCGAAGGCGGCUUUCUGGUCUGUAACUGACGCUGAGGCGCGAAAGCGUGGGGAGCAAACAGG